rnacentral:rRNA from 1 species
AGUGAACGCUGGCGGCAGGCCUAACACAUGCAAGUCGAACGGCAGCACAAGAGAGUUUGCUCUCUGGCUGUCGCGUGGCGGACGGGUGAGGCAUGCAUAUGAACCUCCUCAUUUGCGGGGGAUAACUCCGGGAAACCGGGACUAUUACCGCAUACGACCUACGGCUGAAAGUAGGGUAGUUACGGACCUUGUUCAGAUCGCUGAUCCGUUGAUGCACGCCGGAUUAGCUAGUUGGUAAGGUAACGGCGUACCAAGGCGACGAUUCGUAGCCGAGCUGAGAGGAUGAUCAGCCACACUGGAACUGAGACACGGUCCAGACUCCUACGGGAGGCAGCAGUAGGGAAUAUUGGACAAUGGGCGAAAGCCUGACCCAGCAAUGCCGCGUGUGUGAUGAAGGCCUUCGGAUUGUAAAGCACUGUUGUUGGGGAAGAAAAGCAGCCGAUGAAUACACGGAUGUCAUGACGGUACCCAAACAGAAAGCAACGGCUAACUACGUG